GGCUCUGUGAACUGUCCAAUCAGGGGAGUCGCCAAUUUUACGUGGCAGCGUUGCUCGGAUGAUGGCGCAGACCACGGACCUCGUUCUCUGUGCCGCUUGUUUUCCUGCGGCCGCAUUACCUCUUGCUGACCUUAAAGGCCAGAUGGCUAAGCCACGUUCUCUGUUGCUGUGACCUGCACUUGCCGCAGCAGUUGUAGAGUGAACCUCCUGAAACCCCAGGAACCAAAAAAUGGACCCAGUGACCUUUGAGGAUGUGGCUGUGAACUUCACCCUGGAGGAAUGGGCUUUAUUGAAUCCUUCACAGAAGAGCCUUUACAGAGAUGUGAUGAAGGAAACCUUCAGGAACCUAGCAUCAAUAGAGAAAAAAUGGGACAGUCAUAACAUCGAAGACUGGUACAAAACCCAGGGGAGAAAAGCAAGAAGUCAUAUGGUAGAAAAACUCUGUGAAAGCAAAGAAAAUAGUCAACAUGGAAAAACUGUCAGCCAAAUUUCAAAUCUUAAUCUGAAAAAGAAAACUCCUGGAGUAAAACCAUGUGAAUGUCAUGUGUGUGGGAAAGUCUUCGUGCGUCCUUCAUUCCUUAAUAGGCACAUCAGAUCUCACACUGGACACAAACCAUAUGAAUAUCAUGAAUAUGAAGAGAAGCCAUAUAAAUGCAAGGAAUGUGGGAAAGCCUUCAGUUACCGCAAGUCUGUUCACAGACAUGAAAGAACUCACACUGGAGAGAAACCCUAUGAAUGUAAGGAGUGUGAGAAAGCCUUCACAUGGCUCACAACCUUUCGAAGACACAUGAUAACACAUACUGGAGAAGGACCCUAUAAAUGUAAGGAAUGUGGGAAAGCCUUUAGUUGUUCCACUUCAUUUCGAGCACAUGAAAGAACUCACACUGGAGAGAAACCCUAUGUAUGUAAGGAGUGUGGUAAAUCCCUCAGGUCUCCUCUAGGUUUGCAAAUACAUGAAAGAAAUCACACUGGAGAAAAACCCUAUGAAUGUAAGCAGUGUGGUAAAGCCCUCAGUUGUCCUAGUUCCUUUCGAAGACACGAAAGGACUCACAUGGCAGAGAAACAAUAUGAAUGUAAACAAUGUGAGAAAACCUUUAGUUCUCCUCUAGGUUUGCGAAUACAUGAAAGAAUUCACACUGGAGAGAAACCCUAUGAAUGUAAGGAAUGUGGGAAAGCCUUCAUUUCUCUUUCAAGCAUUCGUACACACAUGAUAACACACACUGGAGAUGGACCUUAUAAAUGUAAGGAAUGUGGGAAAGCCUUUAUUUGUCCCAGUUCGUUUCGAUCACAUGAAAGGACUCACACUGGAGAGAAGCCGUAUGAAUGUAAAGAGUGUGGUAAAACUUUCAGUUGGCCCAGUUCCUUUCGAAUACAUGAAAGAACUCAUACUGGAGAGAAACCUUAUGAAUGUACAGAAUGUGGAAAAACCUUCAUUUAUCGCACAACCUUUCAAGGACACAUGAGAAAGCACACUGGAGAGAAACCCUAUAAAUGUAAAGAAUGUGGGAAAGCCUUCAUUUCUCCCUCAAGUGUUCGAACACACAUGAUAAUGCACACUGGAGAUGGACCUUAUAAGUGUAAGGACUGUGGGAAAGCAUUCAGUUUUCCCAGUUCAUUUCGAAUACAUCAAAGAACUCACACAGGAGAGAAACCGUAUGAAUGUAAACAGUGUGGUAGAGCCUUCAGUUGUUACACAUCUUUUCGAACACAUGAGAAAACUCACACUGGAGAGAAACCCUAUGAAUGUAAGGAAUGUGGGAAAGCAUUCAUUUAUCGCACCACCUUUCGAGGGCACAUGAGAAUGCAUACUGGCGAGAAACCUUACAAAUGCAGAGAAUGUGGGAAAGCCUUCAGUCGUCCCAAUUCCUUUCGAAGGCAUGAAAGAUCUCAUACUGAAUAGAAACCUUGGAUAUAAGUAAUGUGGGGAAAACGUCAGUUGGCCUUCAUUCUUACAUGUGAAAACUUACUGGAAAGAAGUCCUAUGAAAAAACCUGCUACAAAUUAACCUAUGUAUAGUAUUCCAAAAAACAGUCACAUGAAAUAAUUAAAAGUUACAAUAUCUUUAUCAGUGCCUCAUUCUUAAAAGUGGAUCUCUCGGCUGGAUAUGUACUACUUACUUUCAAUACAGAAUACUGAUGUGAAGAUAAUUCUUGUCAUGUUGCCAGAACCUACUGGGAACACACCAGCAGUCAACAAGAGUGGUGUCAUGCAUUGUAGUACUCAGAAUGAUUGCAGACCCUAAAUGACUGGAUUUAUUAGUAAGAGGGUGCUCAAAAGGACUUACCUAAUUUGGGCUUGUGCUAGGUGCUCUGAUUGCUAUUCAAGAAAGCAAGAUGUUUCUGGAUUGUACUGGAUGCUGCAAGAAGAUGAACUUAAUUUUAUCAUAAGUAAUUGUAGUAUUUGACAUUUUUCUCUUCAGCAUGAUCAAAGAACAAGGCCAGCAUCCAGUCCCCUAGUACAGCUUUUGCUUUUCCUACUGAUUGUGCAAACACUGAUAUAUUUCCUGUGAUGUACUGGAUGGAUACUGUUUACCAUAAAGUACUUCAGUGAAAAUAUAUAAAGUCACUUCUUAGUAAACUACAUGGUUCCUUUAAUAUCUCCUUUAUAACUCAACUGAGGCCUAUACUUUCUGAUAAAUUAUGAAAACACAAACCUAGUGGGAGAGAAAGACGAGACCACUGUUUCAGUUAAGCAUUUUUUGCUCAGAGACUGUACUCUUGAUGCUAUUUCAGUAUGCCUGGCACUGGAUUCAACAUAUAUCCAGUUUAGCACAAACAAGGUACUCCAGGGAUUGGAUAUAGAGGCAUGAAGCAAAUAAGGUUUUGCAGUACUGGUGCUCAUAUUUUUGUGGGAAAAGGAGGCUGGUUAGCGAAUGUUAAAGCUUUGGUUUAUAAGAUGGAAAUAAGAGCUUUGAAAGAAAGUGAGUAAUGACAUGUAAGAAAUAAGCUGGAAGUAUGUGUAUAUCUUUCCUGUGAAGGUAGGAGCCUCAGUCACGAUGUUAUUAUUGAUCACUUGAAUUUCUACCACCUUAACACUGUUAUUAGGAACUGCUUGGGGAUGGAAGUAAAUGGAGGGCAGCAAUGUAGAAGGUCCUGCUUUCCUCAGUUAAUAGUGAAGAUUCCCUAUAAAGAUAGUCAUUUUUGCAGUUUUCUAUAGAAAAUAUGUGACCAUGAUUUUGGACAUUGAUUUGGACCACACAUAUUUGUGGCAUCUUUUUUUUUCUGUCUUUUAGGGCCACACCUGUGGCGUAUGGAAGUUCCCAGGAUAGGGGUCGAAUCGGAGCUAUAGCGCUGAGCUACACCAAAGGCUCAGAAAUGUAAGAUUUGAGCCGUGUCUGUGAUCCACACCAGAGCUCACAGCAGCACCAGAUCCUUAACCCACUGAGCAAGGCCAGGGAUCAAAUCCAUGUCCUCGUGGAUCUAGAUGGGUUUGUUACCACUGAACCACCACAGGAACUCCUGUGACAUCUUUUUGUAUUUAACAUCAUUUAAAAGUAUUCAUUUAUUUUUAACUAUUUUAAAUUUUAUACUUGGCAUUUUCACUUAUAUACUUAUACAAUAUAUACUCUAUUAAGCUCUGGCAUUCACCCCAGUCUGAGAAAAGGUUAUGUUCAUCUCCACUGUUCUAACCUAUCCUGAGUUUAUUCUGUAAGUAGAGUGAUACUUAUGCAAGUCUACUAUGAUUUCUCAGUGGAUACAACAAAAAGAACAGUGAAUGUCUAUAAGGCAGUUAUUCAAGAAAUAAUUGAGGAGAGCUGCAGAGAGAGGGGACCAUUUUGAGUAAUAUCCUAAUUCAAUGUAAAAGGAGAUAAGGGAAAAUUUUAAUGCCUUUCUAUAAGAGUAGCUGGAAGCUUCUUUUCCCCCAGUGACUCACAAAUCCCCAUCUGCUGUUCACAAGUAUCAUUAGACUUCCAGCACACAUUCUGGACUAUAAAAGUAACAGCUCUGAAUUUUAUUACAGAGUAAAGGAAAGCCAAAUUUUGUCCAUUUUCUUAUUAGCACUGUAAAGAUUGUCAUUUCAUAAUUAUUUAAUCUCCUUUGAUGUCCUGUCAAUUAUUCCUUCCAUCUUACAAAUGAGAAGGUUAACUACAGUAGAACAAACUCAGACUCAUAGAGAUCACAGUAAUAUAAUGUCUCAGUUUUGAAGGCCUAAUGUAUACCACUUAACUUAGCACUGUCAAAAUUUUAAACUCAGAAGAACACUGCAAAAAUUACAUACUCUGAAAGAAAAUUAUGGCAUAUAAUUUCACAGAUGACUGAAAUGGCAGUAUGUUUGUUUUAUUUAUAUUACAUUCUAGAAAGGCAUACAUAGGGACCUAAAACAGAUGUCAGUGGAGAAGGGGUUUGGUAAAAAGAGGCAUCACAAAGAGUGUUGUUUUUUCUUUUUCCUUUUUAGAGAUGACCCCCCAGAAUAUGGAGGUCCCAGGCUAGGGGUUGAAUCAGAGCCAUAGCCACUGGUAUACACCACAGCCACAGCGAAUGGGAUCUGAGCCACAUCUGUGACCUACACCACAGCUCAUGGCAACAAUGGGUCCUUAACCCACUGAGCGAAGCCAGGGAUCGAACCCAUAUCCCCAUGGAUGCUAGUCAGAUUUGUUUCUGCUGAGCCACCAUGGGAGCUCCACAAGAGUAUUCUUUUGGGGUGAAGGAGUAUCACCCACCUUUUGGUGGCAGUAGCGUUACUAUACAUUUGUAAGAACUCACAACUACACUAAAAAUAGUAUACAUACAUAUUCAAAAUAAUUAGUAGAAAACAAAUGACAAAACUGCUUUCACAUGCUAGGAGAAUGUUAAACUUUGCUGAACCUUGAUCUUUGCAUGUACGAGUUAUUUCCACCACCUUGCAGUACUACUUAGGAAGAACUGAAGGAUUCAGUCCUCUACAGGCCUUUUUUGAAAUCCCUCUUUAAUUUUAAAAACACUCUCUAGGGCUGCACCUGCCCUCAUAACAGGAGUGGAGUGAGAGGGCUCCCAGAUCUGUCUUGUGAGUUUAAAUUUGGUUCCUUGGUCAGAUCUUCUGAAACACAAAAGUAUAUCCCACAGUCUCCCCAGGGAUGAUCUGCCCAGGAACAUCCUAAUUCAUGAGCAUCAGCAGCAUAGCUUUUCCAGGGUCAUCCUGAGAUCAAUUCCAGCUCUCCAUUUCCUAGCUCAUGCCUACUCUGUGCCUACUUAAAAAGAUCUUUAAAAAUCCACACCUUGUCCCAUUCUAGAAAAGUUCUCUGUGGCAACACCAGGGGCUGUGAGCUGAAAGAGUGGAAGAAGCAGUGGUCAAAACCAUGUCAUGGGCGCAUGCUCCUCAGCUGCAGCAAUCCCAGGUGGUCCCAUAGUUAUCUUAACUAUUUACAGAAUACAAAAGGAUCUAGACUCUGACCAAAUAAUAAGCACGCCAUUAGUGUUGCCCCCACCACCACUAUCCUACAUCACAGAGGUCCUGGCCACCUCUCAUGCCUCCUGAGUCUCUAAGCCACCCAUAAUGGCCAUAUAUCAGGAUGUUCUAGUUAAAGACACUAUUCUCAGCUUAGUGCUAAACAGUUAGAGCAGCCACUGUUGUUAUCACUUCCUCUGAAAUGGAGGCUUACAGGCCCUGAGCUGAUGAUUCAGGGUAGCCGCUUUUCCAUUUUGCCUUGGGUCAUGAGGCCAGAACCUCUCAUUGAAAAGAUAAUGGUACCUACAGGAUAGAGUAAAAAAGGGGAUGACAUAUCUGGCAUAUCUCAAUUACAAGAGGAAGUGUGUUCCACUGUCUUCUGAGUGGUGCAGCUGUUCUAGAGGUGGUCGUCUCUUUUUUAGACUCAUUGGCCAUGCCAUGUGGGCAGCCACUUGGGAUCACAUGAAAGACCAUGAUAGUUUGUAUAUUUAUAGACCAUAUGCCACCACCAUACCCAAUGGAGUCCACUGGAAAGAUGCUGAGUUCUGUCUCCAGAUCAAACAAGACAUCCCUGAUUAAAACUGUACGCAUGCACAAAUACCAGCAAGCAUGCUGGCACUGCAGGACACCCUAGCAAAAAGUCAAAUUCAUCUAUGCAUUUGCAUAGAUCCUUUGACCACUGCCAAUGAUCUUGCUAUCCUCUCCCACCAAUAGUGACAAGAACUCCUUAUCUAACUCUAUCACCCACUUUGGAAAAAGAACUCUGGGGAUAUCUUGCAUCACAGUUACCCAAAGUCACUCCUAAUUCUGCACAUAUGAAACCUCAAACUGGAGAGGAAUAUUUCAGUGCUUAGGGUGAUUAAUUAACUCAUUUCUGAGACACCUCAGACCUAAUGGUAAUAACUUUGGCCCUGCAGGCCCAUGAAAUAUGAAACUAUUGAGAUUCCUCUACCCUAAAACUCUAGGAAGAAUGCAGGGGACUUCCCUCCUCUGCCAUGACUAAGUUAGUGACCUACCAGUUCCCCUGAUAAGGAGAAAAAUGCCACUACUAAUAUAAUUGAUGGACAUAAUCCCCAGGCUGAGGAAGGGGUCCUUACAGGUGAUAAAAAAUAGACUUUAUAGGACCCUUCAUCCCCUCAGCUCAGCUAUUUGCUAUGCUCUGACUAUGGUAUGUACUUACAUCAGCAUAUUACUCAGUAAUCCUAUUAGACAUGCCACUGAUGAAGCCAAAACACAAUGAGUCACCAAGAUAAUUAUGAAAUCUACUCAUUUCUCAUAAAAGUAAAAAAAAAAAAAAAACACCUCAAAACAUUGGGCUCUAGAAAAAGACAUUCAGUGGGACUUUUCUCUCUUAUGACCCCAAGAUCCAGCCCUCAUAGAAGCUAGAAUGGCUUCCUUAGACAUGUUAGUUUUAAAUAAGUCCUCCUGCUGUUGAAGGCAUUAGUUAGACCCCCCUCAGUGUAUGGGGCCCAUUACUUUGUUCUGACCUGCAGGCUUAUUGACACCUCAUAUGUAGAGGACUUUCUCUACCAGACAUUUCUGUCACAUGGUCACUCUCACAAGCCUUUUGCUUAUUGUAAGAGUGUCAGUAGCAAACAUUUAUAUCCUACCCCCGGACUGUUCUCCUAACACAUCUGUACUCUGUUAAGAUUUCAUUUUGGGCACCCUCCUUCAAAACACUCUCUGGUCUUUCUCAGCACAAGUGUGUUGUUUUCCUACCAGUUGCACUCACAUUCUUUGUUGUGGAUGUUACUUGCACUGCCCGGGGUACACAUGAUGCCACUCAACAAGCUCACAUAUAUCCUAAUCAAGAAAUAUCUAAAACAUUCAAAACACAUGUAGCAGACAGCUAAUGUUUUAGAGCCUUCCUGUGAAGGAAAACUCUCUGGGAGCCAUGGUGGCUGAUGACUACGUGGUUUUAGACUAUUUAUUGACCAACCAAAGGAAGUUCUGUUCCCUUAAAGGAUUACUUGCUGCAUAUGGGUAGACAACAUGGCGAAGUGCCAUUAGUAACUCAACAAAUGAGACAACAAAUUAAAAUAACCAAUAAUAUUAUUAAGGUAAUUGAAUUCUGGAACCCCACAUUUUCCUGGAUCUCUCCAACACCUUAGAGUGACUGGAUUUGAAUGCUUUUUCAAGGCUUCAUCCUAAUUUUAACAUGUUGCUUGUGCUUUUCACAUUGCUACUGAAGUUCUUAUGAGAUGUGGCAUAAUUCAGUCAAUCAUCAGUAAUGAACUUUUAAUACAGACACUGGCUCCAUUUUUGAUGUGUGACUGUUAAUGUGUGAGUGGGCUUUAGAUACCCACUCACUCUGCCUGGUCCACAGUAGGCAACCAAGUUAUAAAAGUAGAAACAUGCCCCUUUUCUUUUGUGCCAAUGAAUCAAACCUUGAAAAUCUGAACUCUCAACUCCUUGACACAUUAAAGGCCCAACCACCUUCUUCUUUGCUCCAGCUGCCUGAACCCACUUUUAACACUUGCUCUACUCUCCUAAAAAUUACCUUCAAGUAAUAAACCAGGAGCAGAAGCCAGUUGAGUCAGUAAACUAUAGAAAUAUAUAAACCAUUACAGAUGAAUUUCUGGAGACACAGUAUAAACUAGCUUGUGAAUUAAAAGGUUGAUCUGGGGAACCCAGUCUUAUGGAACUCCCCACAAUUCAUGAAUUCCUCCUGCAGGAGCCACACCAGGUUAUUACCAUGCAGAAUGAAAAAAAAAAAAUUGCCUCCUAAUUCAUGCAGGAAAUGGAUUUUUUUUCUUUUUAGAGCCACAACCACAGCAUAUGUAAAUUCCCAGGCCAGGGGUCGAAAUUGGAGCCUACUGCC